AUUCCAAGGAAAAUGUCUGAGGAAAAUCUGACGUUAUGAUUGAUUAAGGGAUUUGCCAAUUUGCAGGAUGUCCCAUGGAUUACUGCUUGUUUACCAAUACCAAGAGCAGUAGGUGAAUUUGUUCCAUGGGGAAUCUUAACCAUGAAUUUGACCAACCUGGAACAUAAA